GAUGAACGCUGGCGGCGUGCCUAAUACAUGCAAGUCGAGCGAACGGACGAGAAGCUUGCUUCUCUAAUGUUAGCGGCGGACGGGUGAGUAACACGUGGAUAACCUACCUAUAAGACUGGAAUAACUUCGGGAAACCGUAGCUAAUACCGGAUAAUAUUUUGAACCGCAUGGUUCAAAAGUGAAAGACGGUCUUGCUGUCACUUAUAGAUGGAUCCGCGCUGCAUUAGCUAGUUGGUAAGGUAACGGCUUACCAAGGCAACGAUGCAUAGCCGACCUGAGAGGGUGAUCGGCCACACUGGAACUGAGACACGGUCCAGACUCCUACGGGAGGCAGCAGUAGGGAAUCUUCCGCAAUGGGCGAAAGCCUGACGGAGCAACGCCGCGUGAGUGAUGAAGGUCUUCGGAUCGUAAAACUCUGUUAUUAGGGAAGAACAUAUGUGUAAGUAACUGUGCACAUCUUGACGGUACCUAAUCAGAAAGCCACGGCUAACUACGUG
rnacentral:rRNA from 1 species